rnacentral:rRNA from 1 species
UACGAAGGGAGCUAGCGUUGUUCGGAAUCACUGGGCGUAAAGAGCGUGUAGGCGGCCACGCAGGUCCGUUGUGAAAACUGGAGGCUCAACCUCCAGCUGUCGACGGAAACCGUAUGGCUAGAGUCCGGAAGAGGAGAGUGGAAUUCCUGGUGUAGCGGUGAAAUGCGCAGAUAUCAGGAAGAACACCAAUGGCGAAGGCAGCUCUCUGGGACGGUACUGACGCUGAGACGCGAAAGCGUGGGGAGCGAACAGG